ACCUCUUCCCAUUCCGAACAGAGAAGUUAAGCCUAUUAGCGCAGAUGGUACUAGCAUUGCUGGGAGAGUAUGUCAUCGCCUUUU
rnacentral:rRNA from 1 species